rnacentral:lncRNA from 10 species
ACAAACUUUCUUAUCUUCCAUCGCGGCGACCUGGAGGUCCGAGGCUUCGUGCUGCGGUUGAAGGGUGGGGAAUACGACUAAAAACUGCAGCCCAGCGCGCGCGAGACGACCCAAGACCCACGCGCACUCGCACGAGCGCGUGCACAGACUUGGAGCACAGACCCUCCCUUCAGAUCCGCAGUCUCUAGCUCCUUCCAGCAGUAGAUUUUAGAGUGGCCAGCGGAGUCUUAUGCAGCCCUUUCAAAUGCCCUUGGGGAUCUGCCAGCUUCCCUCCCUGCACCCAGCCCACCUCCCCGACCCACUCACGGUUGAGGAGGCCGAGCUGCAGGAGUGAGGCCAGGGCGGUGAGGAUCAUGAAGAGCAGCAGCCCUCCCCUGCGCCCGAGGAAUCGGACCACCACGCACAUGGCCAGGCAGGACACCAGCGCGAUGCUGGCCGUGGUAUAGUAGUCAGCAUAGAAGUUCUCCAGGAGCGGCACCUUCACCUCGUGGCCCAUCAUGCUCCUGGCAAAGCAGUGGUGGAUCCCGUACCCCGUCAGCCUGUGGAGACAUACCGAGCGGCAGUGGGUGGGCUGCCCCCAUGCCAGGGGCUGCGCUGCCUCCUGGGAGUUCGUGCUGUCAGGUGACCAGGAGAUGAAGAAGCAACUCAAUGUGUCAUAGAAAAGCCCAUCAUGACCGAACCACGAGCAGAUUACAGAGCCAAUGCAAAAGAGGAGACGUGGGAGAAAUAUGGAAUGCUUCUCCUGAUGGAGGUCCAGGCUCAUGCCCCACUACCAUGGCUUUAAUAGACAGGUGUGGGCACAAGAGCAGUGAGUCCUUUUGUUAAAACACACACUUUCAUGGGAAUCCUCCAAGACAAAGCGCUUUCCAGGUACUGACUCAUUUAACCCAGGGCCGCAAUCCAACAGCCACUGCACACCCACUUCACAGGGGCAGGGGGGCAGAGCAGCUCGCACGAGGCUCUCGGCGGGUAAGCGGCAACUCAGAGACGCAGCUUUUCUGGGCACUUAGGGUUCUGGAAGGGUGGAGAUCUAUCCAUACCAGCCUCAACUCCACCCACACAGCCUGGAGGAGUCGGGCAGAAGCCAGGCCAAUGGAAGACAUAUAGGGUCCACAGGAAACUGUUUUUUUUUUUGUUUUGUUUUGUUUUUGAGUAGAGCCGUGUUCUGCUACCCAAGCUGGAGUGCAGUGGCAAGAUCUCAGCUCACUGCAACCUCCCCCUCCCUGGUUCAAGUGAUUCUCCUGCUUCAGCCUCCCAAGUAGCUGGGAUUACAGGCACCUGCCACCAUGCCCAGCUAAUUUUUGUAUUUUUUGGUAGAGACAGGGUUUCACCAUGUUGGACAGGCUGGCCUCGAACUCCUGAUCUCAAGUGAUCCGCCUGCCUUGGCUUCCCAAAGUGUUGGGAUUACAGGUGUGAGCCACCGCACCCGGCCUCCGUUUUGAUUCUUAAUUUAUCCCUGUUUCCCCUCCACUGCCCUGGGUCAAGCUUCUUUAUUGCCCCACACGAGCGUAUCAACCUGCUGGAAAAACGUGUCUGCCCUGAAAACAGGAACAAAGGCGUGGCUGCACCCUCCCACGGAGGCUGCUGAUGGCCAUCCAUGGGGUGCCUCAGGGCUCUCAGGAACCUUUGGGGUGUACCUGUGAUGCACCCGUGGUGCCUCGAGGGACCCUUCUUAUGUCUGCUCUUGGCAACCAUCCCAGAGCCAAAAACUGCCCCCUUCUCUCCCCAAACACCCUUUCGUGCUUCAGGGAAAUCUACGUCCUUCUCAUCUAACCUUGAGAAUGCAUCAAGGUCAACUGUAACAGACCCCGUCCCUGCCCCAUAGGGGGAAGCCACCCCUUGCCAGGUGAAUGCCUUUCCUCUUGGGAAAUAGGCAGAGGCCCCAGCCCCCGCACAAUGGCUUUAUAAUCCAGCAACUGAUUUGGUUCAGUUAGCCUCCAGAGUUCCUCUUCUGGCCUGCUGAGAUAGCAGGGCAAUCUCCUACCUUCUUGCUCUGGUAGAAAUGAAGUCUCCCCUGACCACAACAGGUCAUCUGAAGAUAACAGAGCCAGAGAGCUCGGUUCCCCGUCUCCACAAAACGAAUCAUUAAAAUGGAAACUCACCAUCUU